rnacentral:tRNA from 4 species
GCGGCGGUAGUUUAAUGGUAGAACCUUAGCCUUCCAAGCUAAUGACGAGGGUUCGAUUCCCUCUCGCCGCUCCA